AUGAUUGCAUAAGAUAUUCACAUUAUAGACAUAAACCUCAUAUCUGCAUAAUUUCCCUCACAUUUUUCUGUAAUCCCUGUCUUUUUAAGGAGAUAUUAUGCCAGUUAACAUCUGAGUAUUGUCUAUGUGCUGGGCAGGAUUCCAAACUCUUCCACAGACCACGACUAAUCCUGUAACUCUUACCAGGAAGGUCUAUUAUCAGUGAUAGACAUGAGGAAUCGGAUGCAGUAAUUCUCAACGUGCGUUCCCCUGACCAGCAGCGUCAGCAUCACUGGAGAGCUUGUUAGAAAUGCAGAUUCUCAGGCCCCACCCCAGACCUACCAAAUCAGAAACUUUGGGCUGGGGCCAGCAAUCUGUUUUGACACACCUUCCAGGUGACGGUGUUAAAUGCUCGAGUUUGAGGACCACUGAGGGAAACUGAAGGCUCAAGUUCACACAGAUAUUUCCCUUCUUCUGCAACUAAACUGGAGAAUCAGCAGUGAACCUUCCAAGGUUAAGAAGCAGUGGUCCAAGCCUACACAUUCUUUCAAGUGUCCAAGCUUUGUCACCCUCAUUUAUCACCAGAGACUCGACAAUGGGGAGUAAGGUUGGUCGGAUUUAUAUUUAGGUUCUUGAGGGUAGGUGAAUGGCAACUGGAAAAUCCCUGUGAAAUGUGAACUUCCUGCAAAAUAACUUCCUUGAUUUUUUUCACUGAUUUCACUUUAGGUUAACGUUCUUUGCAGCUGCUUACUGGUACUUCCCUAGAUCUGCAGAAGAUGGUUUCAUAGUCAUCACCUCAGAAGAAAAAGAAAAAAAAAUUUUUUUAAAUUUAUUUUCAAGAAAAAACUAUUCACUGCUAAGCCAAGUGGCGGCAUAAUCAGCAAGCCUCCUUAGGGACCUGUCCUGUCCUGAGAAGGCAGAGGAGCGCAGUGACAGAGGAGGGACGCGAGGUCAGAUCCACGCGGAGGAGACCUGGCCGUCACUGUGGGAAAUGGGCGGGGGCCUUAGCCUCACAGCAUCAGUCUCCUCAUCCCUGAAAUGGGGAAGGUCGUGUCUGCACCAUGGGUGUCUUGUCAGGACUCCUUUACCAGUGCUAGCCCCUGCACCAAGUUCUCUGAGGUGUCUCAGUCACAAAUGGUAGCUCUCGUCAUCUUAGGAGGACCCUAACUCGUAAGAUGCCACUUUCCCCCUCGUUUUACCUGUCUGCUUCUGUUCCUUCCAUUCAGUGCACAUGAACGCAUAUGUUUCUCUACUCUCUUGUAAUUGUUUAUUACAGAUCUACCUCUCCCUUUUCACUUCCUUAACUGAUUAUUCAUCAAAUCAUUUGAGAAAGUAUUAGAAGUGAAAUUUGGGAAAAUGAGACUUCUUCCUCCCUUUAAGACGCAUGGCUUCUGCAUGGCCAGGUUGCAUCAUGGUCUAAGACGGUGGCCACUGACCUAUGUCAUGCCCUUCUUUUGUAUAACUCACCCCACCCAUCUUACCAUGUCACAUUUCAGAAGGCUGAUGCUUCUCAAAAUCAGUAGGCAUUGCAGCCAACUAAGUGAGUUUUCUUUUUGCCUUAUAAAGCCAUAAAGAACUGAAGAUAGUUCCAGUGUUAUACUUUAAUAUUA